rnacentral:tRNA from 1 species
GGGGCAGUAGCUCAGUGGUUAGAGCCGCGGACUCAUAAUCCGUUGGUCGUAGGUUCAAGUCCUACCUGCCCCA